GACGAAGGAUGCAAGCUUUAUCCGGAUUCAUUGGGUUUAAAGGGAGCGUAGGUGGACUUGUAAGUCAGUGGUGAAAUCUUUGGGCUUAACCCAGAAACUGCCAUUGAUACUGCAGGUCUAGAGUACAGUUGCCGUUGGCGGAAUAUGACAUGUAGUGGUGAAAUACUUAGAUAUGUCAUAGAACACCGAUUGCGAAGGCAGCUAACGAAGCUGUAACUGACACUGAGGCUCGAAAGUGCGGGGAUCAAACAGG
rnacentral:rRNA from 1 species